UGACUUGCCAGGCACACAGUGAACCAGCAGAAGACUACAUGAGGACAAUGGAGAUAUGGUGAUAUUGGGUUUAGUCACAUUAUGUGCUGUGGCUAACAGAAUGUGGGCACAAAUGAUACUGCUUUAUAAACUGAGGCCUUACAAAGUAUUGAACAUUUCUACUUGCCACAUUGGGAGUUGUAAACUGUGCCACAAGGACACGCCCUGGGAGAUCACUGGUCCAAGAAGGAGAAACAUGAAGAACAAGCAUGAAGGCAACCUGCAGCCUGAAGCAGCACUAUUCUGACCCAUUAGUAGGACUAUGAGCAAGAAGCAAAUGUCAUUGGUAUUUUGUAGUUGAUUGUUCGGUAGCAUUACUGUAGCAAUAGCUGACUAAUGCACCUUGCAAUAAUAGAUCAACACAGAAAAUGUGAAUUUUGUUUUUCUCUUGGAAUCUCAACAGUUCUGACUAAUUCAACUAAUCCCUAACCUUUCUAUUUUAUUUUGCCUAUUCAAGCUUGCUAGCAAUCUAGACUGUUAUCAUUCCUUAAAUAUGCUUCAUGUAGUGUACAGUGCCUCCACCCUCGACAAUUCCCAUCUGUCUAAUCUUUUUAUGCAAGAUUCAACUAAAAUUUUUUUCUUUCAUGAAGAACAUCAGAUUCUCCCACUAAUUCUUUCUGAGAGAGAGGCAAUUUCUUCUUUAAGCUCUUUUAUCUCUCUCUCUUGCUUUAUUGAUGACCAUCUGUGAUAAAUUAUAGUACCCCUAGUAUUGUUCUAUACCACUUAUUGGUUAAUAUAUCCCUUGGCAUUUGAAAAUGCUUUAAGGACUGGAAUACUUCUCUUGAAUUUCAUACAGAAUAAGCCCUUCAUUAGUUACAAUUUAAAUUAAUUCACUCCCCUUGCCCCCAGUCUGCUUCUUCUUUGGAUAUCCUAACUCAGUAAAUGUCAUUCCCAUCCUCCUAGUUGUCCAAGCCAGAAAUGUGAGUGAUUAUUAAUCCCUAUUUCUCUUACCUAUUAACCAAGUCCUGUUUAGUCAAAACCCCUAAACAUCAAUCAAACCUAUUCACCUCUCUCCAGCCCCACUGACAUUAUCUUAAAGCCCUUCACCACUCUUUCCUGGAAUAUUGUAAUUGAUUCUCACAUGUUCUACCUACUUUUGGUCUUGAAGAUUUGCAAUCCAAUUUCCCACAGCAGCCAAAGACAUUUUUUUUUUGAAGUGCAUAUUUAAUUAUGUCAUUUGCUGCUUAAAAUAUUUCACUGGCUCCCCACUGCAGCAGAAUAAAGUAGAAAUUUCUAUGUGACUUAUCAGAUCUUUUAUGAUCUACAGUUUACCUCUAUAGCCCUAUUUCUGACUGACUCCCCAACUUAUGCUCUAUACCUUAGGCCAACUAAUUUUUCUGCAUCUCCCCAAACCUACCACAUUUUAUCUUAUUCCCAGUCAUUUGCACAUGAUACUGUGUCUACCUGAUACCCUCUCUCUCCUUCCACCACCCUUUCCUUGGCUAUCUCCUCUUGAGCUUUAUAUCUCAGAUCAGAUAACAUUUUCAUUAAAAGCCCACUCUGGCAUUCCUCUCUCCCUCUUGCUCAAGCAAGCAUGGCCAGGGGCCCUUCUUGCGUGUUCCUACAGCAUCCUGCAUUUACAUGUUUCCCUGUAGCACUUAUGAUACUAUAGUUUCUGAUUUACUUGUAGUUGACUCUAUGGGUAGCCUACCCAAGAGCCAUUCCUUCCUACUAGGCCCCCAGUGAAAUUCAAAUAUCCACCUACCCUUGCAGCCACAUACUUACAGGGAGGUGGGCCUCAGCCCCAGCCACCAUGAGGGAAACCUGAUUGUCUCAGCUAAUCAUGAAAGUACGAUUUCCAAGGCAGUGAUUUGUUAAGACAUCGGCAUGUGAAACCAUUUUGGCCAAUAAGACAUUGAAGGGAAGUGGGACAAGGGGAG
rnacentral:lncRNA from 10 species